rnacentral:lncRNA from 1 species
AUCAAUUUUAUUCCUUGGUAUGCAAUUGCAUAACCAAAACAUAACGCUGAACUUUAGAUAAAUUCAUCAUAGAUAGCAGGAUUAUAAUUUUUUUUAUUUGUGAGUGUUUAAAUCUUAGAUUGAUUAGAGGAAUAGCUGACCCUUCCAAACAUCUAAGUUCACCCCAAGUUUUUGAUGGAGCUCAUUUUGCUCAAACCUUAAUUUAUUUGUAAUUUUUUUGCUGUUUGCACAUUAGUUGCUUUUCUUUUUGACCAUUGCGUUGUCUGUUUUUAUUGUGAUCAAAUACGCUAAAGCAACAAGAACCAGGUGCUCCGCAGGGCGCAGCUUUAUACGACCCCAGAGGUCGAACCCUGAACAGUUGGGGCAAGUAUGGACAAAACAUUCAAGUGUGAUACAGCUCUGAAUUUGGAUUGUGAUCAAAUUUUUGACAUUAAAUGGUUUUUUUUUACACAAAACAAAUGUCAAGAUUUUACAAAUCAAUUAAAGAUUUCUUCUUCAAACUUUUUAAAUCUAAAAUUAAAUAGUUGACACAGCAUAGGUUUCUGACACAGAAUGAAUGUGGUCUAAUGAACUUAAAAGUUUUUUUUUGCCUUUGAGCAAUUCACUAUGCUGUUGAAUAUUAAUCCUCUCAAAAAAAUGUUUGAAGAAAUUUUCUUUUUAUUUAUGAAAUCUGAAAUGAGAAAAAUUUAACCCCCCCCCUUUUUUCACAUCCCCGUUUCCCUUUUUCCAAAACUGAUAUCAAUUCAAAUUUCUUAUGGAGUUUGCAACAAUAACUACUCUUUUAAAUACAUCAUAAAAUAUUAA